rnacentral:rRNA from 1 species
UACAGAGGUCUCAAGCGUUGUUCGGAUUCACUGGGUUUAAAGGGUGCGUAGGCGGACAGGUAAGUCAGUGGUGAAAUCUCCGGGCUUAACUCGGAAACUGCCGUUGAUACUAUAGAUCUUGAAUACCGUGGAGGUCAGCGGAAUAUGUCAUGUAGCGGUGAAAUGUUUAGAUAUGACAUAGAACACCAAUUGCGAAGGCAGCUGGCUACACGAAUAUUGACACUGAUGCACGAAAGCGUGGGGAUCAAACAGG